GAGAAACCUGGUCAGACAUUGAGGCGAUCGGAUGUUGAUGUUGCUGGUUCUUGGUAAAACGACUUAGCUAGUGUCCUUUGCUAAAACUGGAUUUUACAAGGACGUGCACAAACAGGCCUAGCAGGAGAUUCAGAAGCCUGACUAAAAUUUGGCCAAGGAAAAAAAUCCUUGUCACCAGGAAAGUGAGGACUAUUGUCACCAAAUUCAGACUGCCAAUUGUUAAACAUUUACCUGCACAUACUGGGCUCAUCUUCAUUAUUGGUAAAAUGAGCUAGAUGCUAUUUUCCAUUAGCUCACACUCCAAUUCCAAUCGACCUGACCAUCAGAAGAGACAAAAAGGGAAAAUCCUGGCCAGUUCUCCCCUACCUGAUCAACCAGUAGCAUAAUCAGAUUUGCAAGACCUCAAGAAAAGAAACCUGAAAAUGCCACUGGAGGUGUGUGUUUUGCCAAAGAAAAAAGAAUCAAAAACAAAACCUGCAGGAUGAGGACAAACAAACAAAGAGCAGGGACAGAGUCUCACUAUGUUGACACCCUGGACAACACUCUUGAAGUACUCUUUUCCCAGGGAGGACACAGUCAUGGCAUGCAAGGUAAAGGGCAACCUUUUGCUGAAGUGGCACUGAGACACGCCUAUCUCCUUUUCACAGGUUCCUCUCUGGCAUCAGACAGUGAUGUCUAAUCUCUCUAACGAAUUAGUCAUCCCUGUCUCUGCCACCAUAUCCUUGGAUGUGCAGGAAAAGGAAACUAGAGGUGUGUGGCAGGGAGAGAAUGAGAAAAAUCAGGAAGAGGAGAAAAUAAUAUAAUCUGACACCACAGUCUAGAGCUUUUCCUUGAAAUCCCACUCCAACCAGAAGGGAAAUUUAAGUGGGCAUGUGGUGGAAAGUAAAAUGUAAACAUUAUCCCAACAUGUUCUUCAACAGUUUUGAAAUAGAAGGGCCAUGCCUGUGACUAAAGGCACCAUCAUGAUAAUGAUACCAGUUAAUAGCUACCAAUUACUGAAUGCUUACUAUGUACAAAAAACUGUACUGAUUGCUUUAUAUUUUUUAUUUCUAACCAGGAAGGUAAGGGUUACAAACAACCUUACCUUGUCAUCUCAUUUUAUAGACGAGAUACCGAUCCUCAGAGAAUCUAAGUGAUUUGCUCAGGUUCACAGUUAGUAAGUGGUAAAGCAAGGAACUGAGGUGUCGGGGCUCACAACAUGAUAACCCAAAAUAAUGGCACCUUGGCACAGUGAGUAUUUUAAACAGCAGGAAAUUGAAAAAACAGCAGAAGCAGGAAGGCUGCUCUCUGACCUUUUCCCACCUUUUUCUCCUGAGAGCUGGCCAUGAAAGAAUUCUCUGACCUACUUCCCCUGAAAGUAGGUCAUAAGACCCUCAUUCCAGAGGGGUCCUGCCCUAUACCCAGAGGGAAGGAAUGUCACACCGAGGCUGAAAGGAAUCUGAACAAAUAGGCCUCGCUGAGUUCCCCAGAUUAUUACUAUUAGAUCACACUCUUUUGUCCUCCAAUUACACUUCUGCACAACUGUCCCUAAACACACAUGGUUUUCCCUGGGUCCUUGGGGCUUCGUUUUCUGAAGGUUUCUGUGUCACUGAAAACUUACAUUAAAUAUAACUUUUAUACUUUUCCCAUUUAAUCUUUUUUUUUUUUCUUUUUAUUUGUUAUAGGGGCUCAGCCAUGAACCUUGUGAUGGAUGAGGAAAAGAUAUUCUUUUUCUCCCCUUACAGUUUCUGGCAGCCAACAUGGGGUGGCUGUGACACCCCACUAGUUCCAGAACCUGCAGAUGAGAUCCUGGGACAACCAAUAAAAAAACAACAAAAA